AAAGUAUAUGCUAUCGGCAACCCUGUCAGUGUGAUAUACGCCCUUCUUUUCCUUCUUUCUCAUUUCCUGGUAUUUCAAGACUAUAUUAACCUACUAUAUAUGCUAACACUAUACAACAUGGAAUUAUGAAAAUAACAUGAAACUUUGGUUAGCAAUGUUAUGAUGUUUUCUGUUGAUCUCCUAUAAAAUGCUUGCAGCCCUGUUUAAAAGGUGAAUGUGAACCGGUUUAUUUGUACAUAUUGCAAAUCAGGAUUCUGUCCAAUGUCAGAGCAAUGGUUUUGUAACCAUUAGUGCUCAAUUU
rnacentral:misc_RNA from 1 species